ACCUAUGCUUUCUUAAAAAAUAUUAACUGACAUUAUAGUGGGGCUAAUGGGGUACUAGAGAAGUACUUCCUGUAUCAGUGAUUUCAUAUAAAGCGAUUCUUUACACAGACACACACAGGCAUUCACAUAGCUUCCUCCCAUGCAUUAAACAAAAAUGCCAACCUCAGUUUCACUGUGUUUCUGUUUAAGCAGAUGCUGUGUUCUAUAGGAAGAUGCGUGAAAUUGUUGUAAAACAUUCUACCAGUUAUCAAGACUUACUAGAAGCAUGCACAGGUUGUAGUUGGAGGAAAGCCAUUGAUUGUUGCAGACAAUUGCUUGUUGGAUUCUGUAACCCACCACCUUGCUGAACUGUGAGGGCAAUAGUGUCGACCCAUCUGCCAAGUGGAAAGAUCUGGAUAUUUACAAGGGCUUCUCCAUGCCUACAGACGGAUUAGCCUGUCACCUACAGAACCCCCAGAUCAGCGUCGUUUUCCUGGCGUUGACCUACAGGGUACCUAUGGCCAGGCUACUAAAAGAGGUAUGCCGAUAUAGUUAAGGUAAUCUUUGUCUUUAGGUUAAGGAGUGCAUGGGGUGGGUAUGCUGGUCGAUGUGGGUGUUUGUGUGUAUGUGUGUGCGCGCUCGCCGGGGUAGGGAGGAAGCAGGCAAUGUGUGCAUCACUUCUUCGGAGAUGCCUUCCCUGACCUCUCUGAUUACGUGACGUCCGCCUCGCCACCCUCAAGAGCAUCUUAUUCUCUCUACACCCAUCAUAGCUGGGACUUGCAUUCGUGUGGUUAGUGCCCGUCGCCCCCGCUAGAUCGUACCCUGCGCUAGUUAAGGAACCUCUUAUGUUCCUGCUCACCCCUGUAAUCCCCCUGCCCAGUAGGAUGCCAGAU